AGCGAACGCUGGCGGCAGGCCUAACACAUGCAAGUCGAACGAACCUUUCGGGGUUAGUGGCGGACGGGUGAGUAACACGUGGGAACGUGCCUUUAGGUUCGGAAUAACUCAGGGAAACUUGUGCUAAUACCGAAUGUGCCCUUCGGGGGAAAGAUUUAUCGCCUUUAGAGCGGCCCGCGUCUGAUUAGCUAGUUGGUUGAGGUAAUGGCUCACCAAGGCGACGAUCAGUAGCUGGUCUGAGAGGAUGAUCAGCCACAUUGGGACUGAGACACGGCCCAAACUCCCUACGGGAGGAGCAGGGGGGAAAUCUUGCGCAAUGGGCGAAAGCCUGACGCAGCCAUGCCGCGUGAAUGAUGAAGGUCUUAGGAUUGUAAAAUUCUUUCACCGGGGACGAUAAUGACGGUACCCGGAGAAGAAGCCCCGGCUAACUUCGUG
rnacentral:rRNA from 1 species